GGGGAUGACUGGCUUCGACGGGGAAGGCUGAUCCUGGACUGCAAGUCGAGCACGCUUUACACCUCGUAAAACUGGAAGCAAACAAUUAAGUGCCGAACGCACUCCUUCAUAUAACGCUCUGCCCAUGGCUGCCUAAAACAGUCUAGGAGCGUUGCUGGUUCCAAAGAUGGAACCCCGUCCGCCUUAAGUUUUUCAUUAGUUGGCUGAGGUUGGGCGACACGAAAAUUAAUGUGCUCCACGUUGACGUCGAUAAACGUGGCUAAGCUGUCCUUUCGGGGAUGAUCGGCUCGCUAGCGGCUGACCUUGUUGGCCAGGGCACCCGUUAGUAAAACUAAAUAGGCCGACUACGCUUGUAGACGUUCAGAGGUUGAAUUUUUCGGACGCGGGUUCGAUUCCCGCCAUCUCCAUUA
rnacentral:tmRNA from 1 species